AGCCUGUAGUCUGUGAGUGGUAUUAACCUGUUGGCUUAAUGUCCAUAGUGGAAUAAGCUAGCUAGCUACAGGCUAGUGCUAGCCUACAUUUAAUCACCAUUUAAUCAGUGCAGGGAAACGUUUAGCAAGAUGUUCAUAUUAAAUCAUUGUCCCUGCCCCUUUUAGCAGCCUUAACAACAGAUGAGUCAGCAGCAGCCCAGUCUCCCCCUAACUGAGCCCCUCCCUGUCCCAGUGAAGAAGCCCAAAAUUCCUGGCGGCGCCCCUGCACCGCACCGUCUCGUUGCAUUGGUGUGAACUAGCAGCUUUCAGAGCGUUGCAGAGCGGAGCGUUGGGAGUAACUGGGGGAUUCAUCUCCUCGCUACUCUUUGGUCUGAACUCGCUAUGCUUACCUUUUUAGCUACGUUUUCUUGAGCCUUCAAUUCAUGGAGCAGAUGAGAUGGAUAUUGGAAGAUAUUUCAGCAGAGAGAGAGAAGCAGGAGAUUGGCAGAGCAGUUGAUCCUGAUUGAGUGACGUCCCUGGACUCGGCUAUUCAAAGCCCC